UGAAGCCCUGCUGGGCAGGAGCAUGAGGGCUGGAGGGGGGCAUGAAGGCGGUGGGGGCAGCUCCAUGGCCAUGGCCUGCUCCAUCCCAGUGCAGCUCAGUGAGCAGGAAGGCAGGAGGGGGAGGUGGCCGUGGUUCACGGUGGGGUGAGGGGGUGGUUUUAUCUGAAUCGCUGAGGGGGAACAGAGCGUUCCGGAGGGAGGAGAGGUGUGAGAGCUGCUACCUGUCUGUCAUUACAGCCUGUUCUGGGGGCGUCUGGUGAUGUUCGCUGGGAAGCUGUGGCGCGAGGAAAAGCCGCAGCUGCUCGCCGAGCCGGAUGGGGAAGGAGUGGCCGCGCUCAUGACACAACCUGCAGCGCACAGGGCCGGCCGGGGGCAAUGAGGGACGGCAGCCGCCUUCCCCUCACCGCCCCCUUCCUCAGUGGCGCACACCGCCCUCACGCUCGGAUCAAGGAGGCCAGCUUCGCAUUGGGGCCUUCGCCCAGCCCGGCUGGGUCCUCGCGCUCCCGCCUCCCGCCCAGCCCCUUCCCGCGGG
rnacentral:lncRNA from 1 species